CCCCUUGCCCUCACGAAAAGCUCUGCUAGGGUUUGCCCUAAGGUCCCCUUCACCCAAGCUCAAACUCAGUUCCCACUCCAUCGCGCAAGCUGCCGUGCUCCGAGGUCCCGUGUCGAGGUUCCGUUAACCCUUUUCCAGAUGGGCGAGGUCCUCGUGGUCAGCAAGGAAAUGGAGAUUCUGCCGCUUAGUCCGCGUGGAUUGGAUUAUAUUCGUUGUUGUACUUUUCUUUAGGGCUAUGGCCCUGUAUGUCGUUGUUCUUGGUUUUGUAAACGUUCGGUCGAACCGUUAUUCUGUUUUGGUUGGCAUCGCGUUAUGCCUAGUUGUAGGGAUAGAUUUAUGAACCCCAGGAUUGCAUCGUUGA